rnacentral:tRNA from 1 species
ACCUGGCUGGCUCAGUCGAUGGAGCAUGUGACUCUUGAUUUUGGGUUGUGGGUUUGAGCCCCAUGUUAGGUA